ACUACACUCCAGCCUGGGCAAGAGAGCAAGACUCUGUCUAAAAAAUAAAUAAAUAAAUAAAAACAUUGUAUUAGUUUUUUCUGAAUGACUUAAUUCUAGUCUUCCAGGACUAUAUUUUCUCCUUCUGUUGCUCUUUUAACUGUGGCUUUGACCAUGCACCCCUUCUGCCUCUAACCUCACACAAUGGUUUUGUUAACAUAGAUAUGUCAUUAAUAUGGUUAUAGGUGG
rnacentral:lncRNA from 10 species